GUGGGGAAUAUUGGACAAUGGGGGGAACCCUGAUCCAGCCAUGCCGCGUGUGUGAAGAAGGCCUUUUGGUUGUAAAGCACUUUAAGCGAGGAGGAGGCUACCGAGAUUAAUACUCUUGGAUAGUGGACGUUACUCGCAGAAUAAGCACCGGCUAACUCUGUGCCAGCAGCCGCGGUAAUAAAGAGGGUGAAAGCGUUAAUCGGAUUUACUGGGCGUAAAGCGCGCGUAGGUGGCCAAUUAAGUCAAAUGUGAAAUCCCCGGGCUUAACUUGGGAAUUGCAUUCGAUACUGGUUGGCUAGAGUAUGGGAGAGGAUGGUAGAAUUCCAGGUGUAGCGGUGAAAUGCGUAGAGAUCUGGAGGAAUACCGAUGGCGAAGGCAGCCAUCUGGCCUAAUACUGACACUGAGGUGCGAAAGCAUGGGGAGCAAACAGGAUUAGAAACCCUGGUAGUCC
rnacentral:rRNA from 1 species